AUUGAACGCUGGCGGCAGGCCUAACACAUGCAAGUCGAGCGGAUGAAGGGAGCUUGCUCCUGGAUUCAGCGGCGGACGGGUGAGUAAUGCCUAGGAAUCUGCCUGGUAUUGGGGGAUAACGUCCGGAAACGGGCGCUAAUACCGCAUACGUCCUGAGGGAGAAAGUGGGGGAUCUUCGGACCUCACGCUAUCAGAUGAGCCUAGGUCGGAUUAGCUAGUUGGUGGGGUAAGGGCCUACCAAGGCGACGAUCCGUAACUGGUCUGAGAGGAUGAUCAGUCACACUGGAACUGAGAAACGGUCCAGACUCCUACGGGAGGCAGCAGUGGGGAAUAUUGGACAAUGGGCGAAAGCCUGAUCCAGCCAUGCCGAGUGUGUGAAGAAGGUCUUCGGAUUGUAAAGCACUUUAAGUUGGGAGGAAGGGCAGUAAGUUAAUACCUUGCUGUUUUGACGUUACCAACAGAAUAAGCACCGGCUAACUUCGUG
rnacentral:rRNA from 1 species